GGGGAGGGCGCACCGGCCGCGGCGCACAGCCUGAGCAGGCAAGCGCGUUGAGCGAGCAGAGUAGCGCGGGCAGCAGGAUCACGGCGCACGGGGCGAGGCUAGCAGUGCGGAGCACGAGAUGCACGCAGGGCCCACACCCGAUUGACGAGGUGCCGCAGCCGAGCGAUGGCCUGCAGGCGUGCGUGGCCGGCAGGGGUGGCUGAUGGGGCCAUGACCGGGAGGGAGGAAGGGAAUUAAGGAAGCGAUGGCAUGCUGCUCCAAUACGCAAAAGGCUAACAGGUACAUGAGCGAACAGUGAUGAACAAUUCACAAACAUACAGGCAGCCCAAGGAUCAUCGACGGAGGAAACACAUCUUUGAAACAGAGAUUAAAUGAAAUCUAUGGAUAGGAUCAGAGAUCUGGAAGCAGUGCUGUGUACGUGAUGGAGAGAGGGACACGAUGUUACCUUCCGAUGAAGCGAUGCAUGGUCAGAUCUUGAACAGCGGAUCACCAGAAUUGGAGAAGACAAGGUGUUAUUUUGGUUGGCGGCGGCGGCGUGAAGUUUUGGGUGAAACCGACAGCAAGUCUGAGUGGAGCGCAUCAUGAUGAUCUCGAUGACUAUAAAUAUGUUGGGUUUAACCGUAUUGGAGUAAACGUCUAGAUUUAAAGAAAAACAAAUUCCUGGAAAAUCUAAAAUCUAUAUUUAAUGUCUUAAAAAUAAUGUUCCAAAGGCUAAAAAAUUCCAUGAAAAUUCCUAGACAUGUUUUGACACCCAAUAAACUCAAAAAAACAUAAUUAGAGUUUCUAAAAACGUUUUUAAGUUCCUCAAAUAAAUAUAUUUUGGUUUCCGAAAAAUAGAAAAAUAUUCUGAAAAAUAUGAAAAUUUACCGAGCGCUUCUAUAAGAUAUGUUAACAUGUUUCAAACACAUUUUGCACUUAGAAACACCAUGCAACAGCAUGAAUGCAACAACCAAAGUGCCUCUAGGGCUCAUUCCACUAGGUUUACGCCAAUAUAAA
rnacentral:lncRNA from 7 species